UAAAUUAUAGUUUAUAAAAAAUAUUUCUAUUACAAAGAAAAGAAAAUAAAUUUAUUUAAUUUAU
rnacentral:tRNA from 1 species